UACGUAGGGUGCGAGCGUUGUCCGGAAUUAUUGGGCGUAAAGAGCUCGUAGGCGGUGUGUCACGUCGAUCGUGAAAACUUACAGCUUAACUGUGAGCGUGCGGUCGAUACGGGCAUCACUGGAGUUCGGCAGGGGAGACUGGAAUUCCUGGUGUAGCGGUGAAAUGCGCAGAUAUCAGGAGGAACACCGAUGGCGAAGGCAGGUCUCUGGGCAUUAACUGACGCUGAGGAGCGAAAGCAUGGGGAGCGAACAGG
rnacentral:rRNA from 1 species